rnacentral:rRNA from 1 species
UUGAACGCUGGCGGCAGGCCUAACACCUGCAAGUCGAACGGUAACAGGAAGAAGCUUGCUUCUUUGCUGACGAGUGGCGGACGGGUGAGUAAUGUCUGGGAAACUGCCUGAUGGAGGGGGAUAACUACUGGAAACGGUAGCUAAUACCGCAUAAUGUCGCAAGACCAAAGAGGGGGACCUUCGGGCCUCUUGCCAUCGGAUGUGCCCAGAUGGGAUUAGCUAGUAGGUGGGGUAACGGCUCACCUAGGCGACGAUCCCUAGCUGGUCUGAGAGGAUGACCAGCCACACUGGAACUGAGACACGGUCCAGACUCCUACGGGAGGCAGCAGUGGGGAAUAUUGCACAAUGGGCGCAAGCCUGAUGCAGCUAUGCCGCGUGUAUGAAGAAGGCCUUCGGGUUGUAAAGUACUUUCAGCGGGGAGGAAGGGAGUAAAGUUAAUACCUUUGCUCAUUGACGUUACCCGCAGAAGAAGCACCGGCUAACUCCGUG